GAUGAAGAACGUAGUGAACGUGCGAAACGUAAUGUGAAUUGCAGAAUUCAGUGAAUCAUCGAAUCUUUGAACGCAUCUUGCGCUCCUUGGUAUUCCGAGGAGCAUGCCUGUUUGAGUGUCGUGAAUACUCUCAACUUCAACCCUUUUUUCGGAAAGGGAGGAAGGUUGGACUUGGGUGUUUGUUGAAGUGCGAGCUUCGACUCAUCCUAAAUGCAUUAGCGAUCUGCCUCGAUCACACACAAUGUGAUAAUUAAAACUAAAGCAUUGUUUAAUGAUCAAGUCGAGACUGCUUCUAACUGUCGCAAGACAAUAACGUGCAUACAUUUGUGCAUGUCAUUUGACCUCAAAUCAGGUAGGACUACCCGCUGAACUUAAGCAUAUCAUAAGCGGAGGA
rnacentral:misc_RNA from 1 species